rnacentral:rRNA from 1 species
UGAGGAAUAUUGGACAAUGGGCGCAAGCCUGAUCCAGCAAUGCCGCGUGCAGGAUGAAGGCCUUCGGGUUGUAAACUGCUUUUGUACGGAGCGAAAAGGUCUGCCCUAAUACGGUGGGCUCAUGACGGUACCGUAAGAAUAAGCACCGGCUAACUACGUGCCAGCAGCCGCGGUAAUACGUAGGGUGCGAGCGUUAAUCGGAAUUACUGGGCGUAAAGCGUGCGCAGGCGGUUAUAUAAGACAGAUGUGAAAUCCCCGGGCUCAACCUGGGACCUGCAUUUGUGACUGUAUAGCUAGAGUACGGUAGAGGGGGAUGGAAUUCCGCGUGUAGCAGUGAAAUGCGUAGAUAUGCGGAGGAACACCGAUGGCGAAGGCAAUCCCCUGGACCUGCACUGACGCUCAUGCACGAAAGCGUGGGGAGCAAACA